rnacentral:tRNA from 1 species
GGGGUAGUAGUUCAGUGGUAGAGCUUCCGCUUCGUAUGCGGGGAGAACUGGUUUCGAUUCCCGGCUGCUUCC